AACGCUUAAAUAAUAGUGCUAACCACAAAUCCUUUUAGGAUUUAAAAGUUUAGUCUUUUAAAAGUAAAUAUUGUUCGCCAAAAAUGGUUUAGAUUAGCAGCACCACAUUGCGUUGUUAUUAAAGAAGCCACCACGAGGGGGCAAUAUCUUCAAGCCGCACUACUGCUGCUCCCUUUUUCUUCAAAGCCUGGGACACUCAAGAUUUUUUCAGGCAACAGACCAGAGUUCGGUGUUUGAGAGGUCUGUUUCUUGAAGCAGCUCCUGCUUCACUUCUCUGAUGGUAGAAAGCAGUCUUCAGCCUGAGUCCCAUCCCUAGGACCUUGUUUAUUAUUUUUUGUCUUUGAGCAAAAGUUUUUUUCUUCUCAGUUGACGGAAUACUGUUUUCUUCAUAUGCUUCUGCUGUCUCUCCUUUUCUUCCACCUUCUCCUGCAUGUGGUACGUGAAACAGUUUAUAAUAGCCUGUGGCUCCUUAAAGAAAAUGGAGAAGGCACUAGAUUCCUUUUGGGGAGAAACCUGUUUUUUCUUACGGAACCCCAAGAACGUAAACAGAACUCUACAUCCCUGAAGCAGAAGUGGAGGAAAAAAGUGAAUGUUGCAGAGCUGGAGAUUGGCGGGGCAAGUUCAGCAGAGGAUGAAGACAGCUGGAAGCAAUAG
rnacentral:lncRNA from 1 species